rnacentral:ncRNA from 1 species
AUAACGGCUCUUUUAAGAGCCAACAAAUUCUUCAAAAGAAUCAAA